rnacentral:rRNA from 1 species
AUUGAACGCUGGCGGCAGGCCUAACACAUGCAAGUCGAACGGUAGCACAGAGAGCUUGCUCUCGGGUGACGAGUGGCGGACGGGUGAGUAAUGUCUGGGAAACUGCCCGGUGGAGGGGGAUAACUACUGGAAACGGUAGCUAAUACCGCAUAAUGUCGCAAGACCAAAGAGGGGGACCUUCGGGCCUCUUGCCAUCGGAUGUGCCCAGAUGGGAUUAGCUAGUUGGUGAGGUAAUGGCUCACCAAGGCGACGAUCCCUAGCUGGUCUGAGAGGAUGACCAGCCACACUGGAACUGAGACACGGUCCAGACUCCUACGGGAGGCAGCAGUGGGGAAUAUUGCACAAUGGGCGCAAGCCUGAUGCAGCCAUGCCGCGUGUAUGAAGAAGGCCUUCGGGUUGUAAAGUACUUUCAGCGGGGAGGAAGGCAAUGCGGUUAAUAACCGUGUUGAUUGACGUUACCCGCAGAAGAAGCACCGGCUAACUCCGUG